rnacentral:rRNA from 1 species
GACGGAGGGGGCUAGCGUUGUUCGGAAUGACUGGGCGUAAAGGGCGCGUAGGCGGUCUGUUAAGUGAGGCGUGAAAGCCCUGGGCUUAACCCAGGAUGUGCGUUUCAUACUGAUAGGCUAGAGUGCGAGAGAGGAAAGUGGAAUUCCUAGUGUAGAGGUGAAAUUCGUAGAUAUUAGGAAGAACACCAGAGGCGAAGGCGGCUUUCUGGCUCGCAACUGACGCUGAGGCGCGAAAGCGUGGGGAG